GGCACGGUGGUUUAGUGGUGAGCAUGUUUGCUUCGCACAUAUGGGGUAAUGGGUUCAAUAACCACCUCUGCCC